ACACUCCUACGGGAGGCAGCAGUGGGGAAUAUUGCACAAUGGGCGCAAGCCUGAUGCAGCGACGCCGCGUGGGGGAUGAAGGCCUUCGGGUUGUAAACUCCUUUCGCUAGGGACGAAGCUUUUUUGUGACGGUACCUAGAUAAGAAGCACCGGCUAACUACGUGCCAGCAGCCGCGGUAAUACGUAGGGUGCGAGCGUUGUCCGGAAUUACUGGGCGUAAAGGGCUCGUAGGUGGUUUGUCGCGUCGUCUGUGAAAUUCUGGGGCUUAACUCCGGGCGUGCAGGCGAUACGGGCAUAACUUGAGUGCUGUAGGGGUAACUGGAAUUCCUGGUGUAGCGGUGAAAUGCGCAGAUAUCAGGAGGAACACCGAUGGCGAAGGCAGGUUACUGGGCAGUUACUGACGCUGAGGAGCGAAAGCAUGGGUAGCGAACAGGAUUAGAAACCCUUGUAGUCCCAUGA
rnacentral:rRNA from 1 species